AACCUUGCGGAAGGUUCAUUACCGAGUGCGGGUCCUUUGGCCCCAACCUCCCAUCCGUGUCUAUUGUACCCUGUUGCUUCGGCGGGCCCGCCGCUUGUCGGCCGCCGGGGGGGCGCCUCUGCCCCCCGGGCCCGUGCCCGCCGGAGACCCCAACACGAUCACUGUCUGAAAGCGUGCAGUCUGAGUUGAUUGAAUGCAAUCAGUUAAAACUUUCAACAAUGGAUCUCUUGGUUCCGGCAUCGAUGAAGAACCCAGCGAAAUGCGAUAACUAAUGUGAAUUGCAGAAUUCAGUGAAUCAUCGAGUCUUUGAACGCACAUUGGGCCCCCUGGUAUUCCGGGGGGCAUGCCUGUCCGAGCGUCAUUGCUGCCCUCAAGCCCGGCUUGUGUGUUGGGUCGCCCUCCCCCUCUCCGGGGGGACGGGCCCGAAAGGCAGCGGCGGCACCGCGUCCGAUCCUCGAGCGUAUGGGGCUUUGUCACAUGCACUGUAGGAUUGGCCGGCGCCUGCCGACGUUUUCGAACCAUUCUUUCCAGGUUGACCUCGGAUCAGGUAGGGAUACCCCGCUGAACUUAAG
rnacentral:rRNA from 1 species